rnacentral:rRNA from 1 species
GCAAGGAGUUUUGCGCAAUGGGCGAAAGCCUGACGCAGCAACGCCGCGUGGGCGAUGAAGGCCUUCGGGUUGUAAAGCCCUUUUGUUGGGGACGAUGAUGACGGUACCCAACGAAUAAGCCUCGGCUAACUACGUGCCAGCAGCCGCGGUAAUACGUAGGAGGCGAGCGUUGUCCGGAUUUACUGGGCGUAAAGAGCGCGUAGGCGGUUCGUUAAGUUGGAUGUGAAAGCUCCUGGCUUAACUGGGAGAGGUCAUUCAAUACUGGCGGGCUAGAGGUCAGCAGGGGAAAGUGGAAUUCCCGGUGUAGUGUUGAAAUGCGUAGAUAUCGGGAGGAACACCCGUGGCGAAGGCGGCUUUCUGGGCUGAUUCUGACGCUGAGGCGCGAAAGCGUGGGGAGCGAACCGGAUUAGAAACCCCAGUAGUCC